rfam:Pteropus alecto contig69476, whole genome shotgun sequence.
GGCUCCAUAGUGUAGCGAUUAGCACAUCUGCUUUACAUGCAGAAGGUCUUGGAUUCACACCUCAGUGGAGUCA